CGCGGCCUAUCAGCUUGUUGGUGGGGUGAUGGCCUACCAAGGCGACGACGGGUAGCCGGCCUGAGAGGGUGUCCGGCCACACUGGGACUGAGAUACGGCCCAGACUCCUACGGGAGGCAGCAGUGGGGAAUAUUGCACAAUGGGCGCAAGCCUGAUGCAGCGACGCCGCGUGGGGGAUGACGGCCUUCGGGUUGUAAACCUCUUUCAGCAGGGACGAAGGGUGACUGACGGUACCUGUAGAAGAAGCACCGGCCAACUACGUGCCAGCAGCCGCGGUAAUACGUAGGGUGCGAGCGUUGUCCGGAAUUACUGGGCGUAAAGAGCUCGUAGGUGGUUUGUCGCGUUGUUCGUGAAAACUCACAGCUUAACUGUGGGCGUGCGGGCGAUACGGGCAGACUGGAGUACUGCAGGGGAGACUGGAAUUCCUGGUGUAGCGGUGGAAUGCGCAGAUAUCAGGAGGAACACCGGUGGCGAAGGCGGGUCUCUGGGCAGUAACUGACGCUGAGGAGCGAAAGCGUGGGGAGCGAACAGGAUUAGAUACCCUGGUAGUCCACGCCGUAAACGGUGGGUACUAGGUGUGGGUUUCCUUCCUUGGGAUCCGUGCCGUAGCUAACGCAUUAAGUACCCCGCCUGGGGAGUACGGA
rnacentral:rRNA from 1 species